rnacentral:pre_miRNA from 7 species
GUCUAGGACCUCUGGGUGGUCGCGCUGUUUCCCGGCCAAUGCACCAAAUGAAAGACCCCCGAAGUGAGACCCUCACUUCAGGCACUCAAGUCCCGGGACAGCCGCGUACCCAAGAAGACACUGAGACCA